GAGUAAGCUGACUCUCUGUUAUGACCCAAUGUUUCUGAUAAUUGCUCUGUUUUGUUUGAAUAGUCUGGCAUAUAAGACAAGAGAUUCUCUGAGAAUUUUGAUUGCCGAACUCCAAUCACAUAAUAACAGCACUACCAUAUUGAAAUCUCGUUUCAAUGAGAAAAUGUGAUGGUCAAGGCCGAGUAGAACAAAUGUGUGAUUAUGUGUACACGUGAAGUGGAGAUCCAGGUAUGAGGACAACAUCUGCCCCACACAAUAUUAGAGAUAAAUGUCCCACAUCGAAUAUUGAAAGGGAUCCCUAACAAUCUAUUAUUAUAAAGAAAUGUGCCUCUCUCCUUAUUAGGACACGUCAUCAAUUAGAAGCAGCAGAAGCCGACAUCUGUCCUACUCUCACGUAAGUCUCGCUGCCCUUUAUGUUUCUAAUGGGCUUUCAAAUGCAUGUGUAUUCUCUGGGCUUCAAAAUAUUAUGUUAGAUUGAAUAUUUACUUAAUAUGUCCCAAUAUUGUCCUUUGAGUCGCCUUCUAUUUCAAUACGGUAUCGGCGUUAGGGUUCUUCAUAAUCUGCAAAUCUGCUUACGUCUAGCGUUUAUAGAGAUUUUGGUUUCUCUGAGAGAGAUACUUCGUCGCUGUAAGAUGUGCGUAGGCGUUUCGUUUUUUUUUACUCACCCCAAUGUCGUUACAAGUUCAUUGAUUCAGCAUUGAUUCAACAUCAUUAAGUCUCGCUUUUCCCUCACGACCCACUACAACCACAAUUAUGCAUUUAAUGUCUCUUUAUCCUCUUCCAAGCGGUGGAUCUCAUCUAUAAAAAGGUUGGACAUCCUGCAUUGAAAAUCAUCCUCACAAUUUCAAAAUCAUUCGAUAAUUCUUCCUCAUGAUAAUGGCUAAUAGUUUAAUCUACUUGCAUGAUUCAGAUUCUGAGAAGCCAAAAACGUUAAACACGGUGGCCAGUUGAUGGCGUGUACAUGAUUUUCAUGAUCCUAAGUCGACACUCAUGCCAGCCACCAUUGAUGGCCACUGUCUCGCCACCUUCCGACGCCGUGUCAAUGCCGGUUCUCUGUUGACAGUUAGCUGGUUCGAUGUGAUACGGUGCAAUCAUAGCUUCUGACUAACCUACUCUCCUCUAAUGAUUCAGUUUAUUAGUGAUUCAACCACUUCUGAUGAGAACCAAACCGGUCUCUCCAAUACCUGAAGAACGGUUUAGGUUACGGAAUCACGAUUAGCUUCAUGGCCUAGCCAAUACAAACACACAUAUUCCAGGUUCAUCCGCUUAAUAUCUGAUUCAUCCAAGAUUAAUUAUUGAAACCUAUAAAUAAUUGAGCGCUCCAUUGACUCUCAGACAUUAUUGGAGAACUCACUGAUGUGAAGAGUACAGUGAGUGAUAAGCCAUUCAUCACCACUUUCAUAACUGAUUAAAUAUACGCUGGCUAUUUCAUAUUAUGGUUUUUCUGUUGGCAGUGAGCCAGUGAUGUAUAUGUCAAGCAGUGGAGUUUCACUAUAUACUGGAAGGUUUUGGAGGUGAUCCAAGAGUUGUUGUCACGACUGACAUAAAAUAAUGAUGAUGAUAAUGGAGAUGACAUGCCUGGUGGCAAUUCAGUACUCUCUAAGGUUAAGGCAUACUGACGUUGACGAUGAAUUCAUCUCAGGCAAACAGAGGCGCCCAUGGUUAGAUUCUAAAUAUCUCUCUAGGGAGACACUUGAAAAGUUCAGCUAUUCAUUCACCAACAAGUACAACUACAUGUAUUUUGUUGUCUGUCAUGCUUUUUUCUUUCUGUAAAAUGAACAAACAGAAUCGAGAAUAUAUAGAACUCUCCACCAAAUGAUGAAAGAGUCUAAUUAGAACAUUGCUAUUUACCGCAUCCACAUUUACGAUUUUCAAGUUUAUAUGAAACUUCCAUCUAUUGUAUCCUAUCUGACAUGACCUAUCUCAUACAGUAAUUGCAGCUUGAUUAGCUCGACAAACCCGGAUGCUCCGGCCAGCUACUAAUUCUUCUGAAAGUAUUCUCACUGCCCAUAACUCACCAAAAUUCUUUUACUUCCUCAGCUAAAACUCAAACAUUUAAAAGUUAUGGAAGAGGAAGAACUCACGCUUUACCAGACACAAAAAUGCAUGUACAUAACGACUAUACUUUUCAAGACUAACAACCAAAGUGACAACAAUCAUUAUCACCAAUAUACAUUCCAUUCGCAAUCAAAACACACCAAAUAUAUAUUAACACAUUAUAAAAAUUUGUUGAAUGAUAAAAAUUUGACUUUAGGUCCACGUGGGCUAUCAUAUUGUUUCCGUAUUUGGGUCCAUUUAUUUUGGCCCAUUAAAAAUUGACGUAUUAGUUCCUAACUGGAAACAUAAUAUCUUCUUCUUCUCAUCUUAGCUCUCUCCACCUUCAUCUUCACCACCGUAAACCAAACAUUGAAUAUCAAUCACCACGUCCACAAACCACCAUUGUAACUCUUCGUAUCAACAUAAUUCCAUGUAAUUAAGAUUGUGAUAACCUUAUACAGGCAUCGGAGAAGCUGAGAAGCCAUAAACUUCACGGUGGAAGCAGCAAUGAGUCUGGUCGGAGAAAAUGACCAGAGGUUACAAUUUCUUACCCAAAAAUGGAAUUCAGUUCUCACGAUCAAGAAGAAUCAAAAAGAAUAAUAGAACAUAUAGAGCUCAGAAGGGCGAAGAAAGAGAGACGUACCUGAGUCUCUUUGGAAGAGACUGAGCUUGCUGUCCAAGCUCGAGACAAAUAGGAAGCUGAGUUAUCGAUCCAUGUUUGGUUCGUGAGACUGUUUCCCUCAAGAAAAGUCAAUGGGAGUUACAUGUCGGGAUUAACAUGUGAGUCAAAACUAGAAAGGAUAAGCUUUACUCGGGUAAGGAGGGAGGUAUGAGUGCGAGUCGUGAAUAUCUCUCAAGCUGACUGAAUCGAAGAUGGAGAUGCAUUCCGCGGAGAUAAAUUCAUCGGAGGAAUACAAUAUGGCCACUGGAGGCGUAUGGAAUCGAGUUAUUUUUGACCAUCCAGUAAAUCGGGGCUUUAAGAGCACCAGCAUUAAUGAACCUCUGGUUGGGGUUCAUAAUUUAAAUUUUUUAUUAUUUUUUUUUUCAUUUUUUGUUUGUUAUUUUUUUUAAAAAAAAAAAAAAUUGACCAAUAGCGGG